UAUUUUCGUAUUCAAUCAAUAUCCUCACAGGGAAGACUAUACUAAAUCCGCCUGGCUUGGCUCGUCGUUCAGAAGUAGUGGACUUGACAAUAGACGAUCUGCGCGGUAUUUUUUUGACACGUUGGCUAUUAGUUUAAUUUGAAUAUUCAAAAGUUAGCAUGAUUGUUACUUUCAUUAACUAAUCCACUGAUACAACAAGAACAGAGCCAUGUUUGGUAACAGGUGAAUUUGCAUACACCGUCGAUGGGGGAAUGACUGUUUCGUCGAACGAUAACGGAUGUCCUAGUCGAGCUCAAAAACAAAACGUACAACCAGGGCGUUCUGUUCGUAAAAUUAAACUUCCAGCGUUGAAAACACGAACGACUCUUUCGUCCUUCCACGAAGCUUUGCUACAAUUGAAUGAUGCUCAGCGACGUUCAGUAACACAACUAGGGUUUGGGCGUAUACUUGAGAUGAAGGUGAAAGAAUUACCGGGCAGGUUAGCUUUUAGGGUAUUGUCAAAAUUCAACACACGAACAGGUGAGUUGGUUGUAAGUAGUGAUAAAAGAGUGAAGGUUACUGAGAACGAUGUUUACAGAGUUUUUGGGUUCCCUAAAGGUAAGGAUACAAUCAAGAUAUUCGAACGACAAUCAACCAGCGAACUAUUUGAUCAAUGGUUUUCAUUUUUUGGGGUUAAUAGUCGAGAUAAGGUAAAAAUUGGUCUUGUGUUAAAUGAAAUGCUAAAUUGCAAAACUGGUGGGACGUGGUUCAGACGUCAUUUCAUGAUAGCAAUGGCAUUUUGUCUGUUUGAGAGCUGUUCAAGUGGGACUGUUCAUCCAUUCAUCCUUAGAUGUCUGGUGAACCUUCAUAACUUAAACAGGUGGAAUUGGGCUGAGUACAUGUUGUCCAGUUUAGUUCGGCAUAAAAGUUUGUGGAAAGGACGUUCCACGAAGGUGUACGUUGGGCCAUCUCUAUUUCUAGUUGUACGUAUUGGAGCAGUCUUUUGCAAAUUUAUAUUUUUUUUACACUAACUCUUCAUGAUGUUCUUGUUAUUUUUUGAAUUGUAGUUGUUCUAUGUCGAUCGUUUCAUGGUUAAUUAUGGGCCUUCCGAAAGGGAUUUUCCAAUUGCAAAGAACUGGACAAGUGAUGAUUUGAGAAAGCGGCAACGCAUGGAAUGUAAAGACCGCAGAUUUGGGAGUGGGAGACUGCGCAAACCAAUAGAGUUGCCAUUUGAAUAUGCAGGUGAAAAUUGUGACGAGCAAGAUGGGUUUUAUGAAAUUAGUGUUACUCAACAGGUAAAGGAAGCUGCACUGGAUAUAGCUGAACGGAUGGCGAAAUUGCGCAUACUUGUAGAUGGAGCCUCAACAAUUGAAAAAAGUACAAAGAUGUUUGAAGACACGGUGAGAGAGGCAUGCAUUAUAACAGGAAUGCAGAUCGAUAUAAAACUACCAGAGAGUAAACCGGAAGAAGUUCUUCCUGUACAAGAGACUAAUCCUGAUUUUGAUGACUUUCUCAUUGAUUUUCCUGAUGAAUUUUAUGAUUGGAUGGAUGCUACUACAUCGGCAGAAGCAUUGUCGGAGAAAAAAGGACAAGGGAAACUGCCCCAGAUUGAGAUCCCUAAGUUCGAUCUAGGGAUGGGAUACGAGGAUUUUGUGGUACAAAUAUAGUGAUUACGUUUAUUAUUUCACUUUAAUGGCAUGGGAUUACUUUUCAUUUAUAUAAAUAAAGUAAAUGUAAUAGUUGUAUCGUUCCAAUAUUACAGACCCUCGAAUGUGGAGAACUCAAAGCAGCUGAUGGACACACAAUGCCGACACUCACUGGAGAGGUAAAUAGAACUACUAUAUUGCAGAGUUGAGUACUCUAGGCAAUAGAGUUAAUACAUUAAUAGUAUGUAACACAUUGUAUAAGUGAUAUUGUUCAGGUUGUAAUGCACGGCAUGUAUGAUGUGACCAAAGAGAAAGAGUAUACUGGAAGAACAACUGCAGAGGUCAUGAUGGCGCAUAUUAUAGUUACUUGUGUUAAAUAACCCGUUUGUUUGGUCUAUUGGUUUUUUUGCUCACUAUUUGUAUUUUAUACUUGAUUCUAGGAACCCCAUGGAGCAGGCGUUCGCAUCGCGUUGCAAGAAGUCGAUAUGAAUGUAUGUUUAUCAUAUUGGUAUUAAUUCCAUUGUUUUUCCAAUUCUGACAUUGUAUUUUUUUGAUGAAUUCGCAAUUCAAGAUUGGAACAGUUGGUGUCGGAUCUCCAGUACCUAACAAAAAGGUUAUGAGGUUGAGGAGUUCAAAGUUUAAAGUUAAAGCAGAACAAGAAAUAUGCGCCAAAAAACCCCUGAGCAAGACAGAGAAAGAGAUUGGCAUGUACAUCAUGUAUAAUGAUAAUGGAGUACAGUAUGUUGCUUGGAUUAAUGCAUACGGUAUAAGAAUUAGAAAUAUUUUCGUAGGUGUAUUAUUUUUAACACCACAAGUUUUUUUUUUUUUUUUUUCUAGAUCGGAGGUUCUCUUCACAUACAAAGACGUUGAAGUCCGUAGAUAUGAGUUGAAGUCAUUGAAGAGAGGUGAGGCAAUAAAACCAUCAAUAAUUAGUGCAUGGUGCCUAAUACUAAAUGGGAAGGAGCUACACGGGGCAAAUAAUGCUCCCACUCGCUUUUUCGCGUCUACUGACGUUCAUGUAAGAUUUAGAGUGAGAUAAGAUCGCAUGGUCUUUAUUAUUUUUUAGCUUCUUCCAAUCUUUAACUUGGAUUCAUGCUAACAGGUUGAUUGCAUUGCACAUAAUAAGGGGUCUUACGAGCAACAAAGAGAUAGUUUCUUUUUGACUAUGACAGCUGAGUUGCAGGAAUAUCAAAAAAAUCCAGUUGGUAUAAUUGACCUUGUACGUCUCAGAACAUAUUUAUAUCUUUGGAUUGAACAAUUAUUACAAAUUUACUGAAUUGUUAUUAUUUCAGUUUUUCUUCCCUGUGAUGCAUCAUGAAUAUUACUUGGUGGUAUGUUUUGACACACGCCGCCAAGUAGUUUUUGUCCUGGACAGUGACUUGGAUGUCAUUUCUCAACAUGAUGCAGGAAGAUACAAUGUACUUUGCGAUACGCUGGUAAUUUUUGUAAAUCGUUGUAUUAUUCUUGUUCCAGUUUAUUUUCAUGGUAGAGUUCAUGUGUUCUAAUUAUUUCGUAUGGCAGCGACGUCUCUUGACGGAUUAUCUAUACUUUAUUGGAGAGGAUCAAAAGGCAGUCUAUGUCUCGAACUCAACAGUUGAAGUGAUCCAAAUGGAGAUGCCUAAUAACAGACACAAAGUCGACAGAGGUGUGUAUUUAAUGCGGACACUAGAGACAUUCAUGGGGCAAGUGUCUACAAAAUGGGAAUGUAGUAUACCUGAUUCUACUUAUCGUCAUCUGUGCCGGAUGCGGGUUCGGUAUUGUGGAUCCAUUAUUAUGUGGCCGAGUAAUGGAAAAAUGGAAGACAUAAUGAAGGAGUCGUCUGAGCAUUAUUUACUUCUUUCUGCUGAGCGCCGAAAUAUGGUUGAAUACCUAUUGUUAGGGUGAUCAUUAUGGCAAACAUAUUUAGAACAUUUUUCUGCUAUUAUUGAUGGUUUUUUGGAAUUUGCUGGAUUGAUAUGAUUGUCGAAAAUUGCGAUGGACUACUAAUAAAUGAUUUUUCUACAUUAUGAGAUGACAUCUUGCGUGUUUAAAAUUUGUGUUUUUGCUUAAAUUAAUGACAUCUUGCGUGUUUAAAAUUUGUGUUUUUGCUUAAAUUAAUGAUAUAUGUGUAUAUGUUUUGAAUAAAUUAUAGCGUAUCCAUUGUUGGAAAUAGUUAGAGUUUUUUGGGCUCUUCUCUUUAAAUGAAUUAUGGGCUUCUUUUUUCUUGGCUUUAUUUGUUGCGGAUCUUUUCGGCAACGACCUCGGAAUGGAUGAGGCCAUAUCUAAAUCGUUUUCAGAGCAGUGGAUCGUCCACGGCGCAGCCCACUUUCUUUCUUUCUUUUUCCUAUUUGUUUUCUGGUUCUGACCUUUUAACAAACACCUUGUGUGCGUGCUUCUGUUCUGCAGAUUUCUUCUUUUACUUUCUUUGGUUUCAGUGUUUAGCUGAGCACUUGGUAGGGACAGGGUUGAGGCUUGAAGUGAAGCGUUCUAACAUCCAUUGCCACAAAAAUUAGUUCUUUAGAUUUUCACUUAUAGUUAGAUAUAAGAUAGAAUCUUGUAAUUCCAUCAUGACUGAUCCAACGGUUAAGAUUAAAUCAAUGAUGCGUAUUCUUGAUUUUAUACUAUAUUUCUUUAGACUUUUUAAUGAACAAUACGGGUAUAGAUGUCAAACUGUUCUCCGGCCGAAGCUCCGAAUCAAAGCAAGAUCCCGAAAUUUUGCUAAUUCCAACUGAAAUUAAUCCACGAUUUGGCUAGGAUUUGGUUAUCAUUAUAUUUUUUGAACUUACAUUAAUAAUGCGACGAACAUCGAGUGUAUAAGCAAUGAACGUAUGGAAUGCAUGACAUAUUCUAUUCUUUUAGGAACUAAAGAAUUCUACAUCUUGCUUGUUUGGUAUAUGUUAAUAAAAAGAAUUAUACACCAUUAGAAAUUAAGUUAAGAUUUUUUAGUAUAUAUGUUUUUCAAACAAUGAUGAGCCACGUAUUAUCCCGUUAAUUAGUUUUUAACCUAAUUAAGUGUGUCUUAGUUUUUGUGUUGAACUUAACAACUAAAUAAAUGCACAUAAUAUGUUUGAUGCAUGAACUUAUGUUCAUCUUGAUACAUCCUGAUACUUUAAUUUGAUCCCCUUGAGCUUGAGUCGUCAAUUUGCCAGCUACAAUGAGCAACCAGCCGAUUCUCUGCCAAUCCCAACUCUCAUAGAUAUAGUUAACAAUCAAAAUCGAAACUGUGAGCGAUAAAGAAAUUUUAUUUUGGUAUAUUAUUUAUUAAUAUAAUAUACUCCAUAAUUAAAUACUACUAAUUAUUCAUUAGGAAAGAAAAACAAGAAUUAAUGCGGUGGAUACAUGAAAAUAAAACAUACUCUGAGCUUUUUCUUUUUCGUUUGAUACAAGUAUAGUAGUAGAUGUGGUUUCUUGUCUGUGGCUGUCAAAAGCCAUGCCUCCUCCUCCACGUUUAUUACUUGUAAACUAAUAGUGUCGAAUAAACUCCUUAUUUAGUGGAUGGCGAAUGAGUACAUUAAUUAUUAAUUGAAAUUUGUUAAACUUGAUUGUGUAAAAAUAAGAUCCUUUUUGAGAUCUUAACAAUUUUUGUUAUAGUAGCACUAAUAUGACAUUGAUUUUUUUGCGAACCUAUGAUAGGUUCAUUUGUUUGACAAUUAUAUUCUACGAAAAAUCAGCAUCAUUUUUAAUUACAUUUUUAUGAUGGGAUUGUGGAAAUCAGGAAAUGUCAGGAACUUCAUUUGUUUGACAGUUAUUUGGUAAAGAUUUUUUAUGAUAGGUUCAUUUGUUUAACAAUUAUAUUCUACGAAAAAUCAGCAUCAUUUUUAAUUUCAUCUAUAUGAUGGGAUUGUGGAAAUCAGGAAAUGUCAGGAACUUCAUUACUAUUAAACAAAAAAAUAAAACUAUUCCGGUAAACAUGAUUAAAAUAAUUAAUGACAUAAGGACGAUAUUUUAAUUUUCAUUUUUUCCUUUAGGCUGGAGUAGUUAUCCCCAAAUUUGCUUAUGUGGUUCACUUCGUAGUACAUUUGGCAACGUUUUAAAAAAUGCCACACAUGUGUUGAAUUAAACUAAUGAAAUAUUUCAAGCCAAGGAUUAUUGAAGUUUAAAGAAUUGAAGAAUUCUAUGGACUUUGAAAAUACUUUAUAUAUAUGAACCUUAUAGCAACUGCUAAAUACACAAAAGUGGUGCUUCAAAAUAAAAGGAAAACUUGCCGCCUACACCCCCAAAAAGUCACGCCGUAGAAUUUUCACCAUCUGUUCUCCCAUAUAAUUGUUCAGGGUUUCUCGUUUGGUAAGAUUCCCAUCAACUAUAUAUUGAAAUCGAAUUACAUGUUAUUGUUGUUCAUAUGUGUGGAACCUAUUUCUCAGAAUUUUGGUCAUGAUACCAGCUUUGUUCGAGCGGUGGAGGAUUGCUAAAGGCGGCGACACAUCGAGAGGUGAUCUUACUUUAUGGUUGCAUCGGUUGAACGGUUCUGUUAAAAAAUUAAAAUUUGAUGCUAGAAACAAGUGAUAGAUAACGACAAGCAAGUGUUAGGUCAAAUUCGAGCAGGUUUUCUCGUUAAUGAAAACGACCUGUACAACCCAAAACUAUUAAAGGGCUUCGAAUGGAAGAUGGUCCCCCCACUAUUCUGCUCUGAAUUGGGAAUGUGUGCGUCGAAUAUAAAAUGAAAUUUUCCUCAUUAGGUAAUUUUAAUUUCCCUCUUUUUAUCACAAUAUGCCAAAAAGCUAUGCCCCACGUUUAUUACUUGUGAGUAAGGAAUCAAGUUAUAGGGUUUUCCACAAUCUCUUAUUAAUUGUAUGAAUAGUAAUGAAUAAUUGUAACCUCUUAUGAUAUGGUUGCUUCGUAAUUAAAAUAUUAUAUCUGUAUUACUGAAUGGGGAACCCGCCUACGGAAAGGGGAAAGGUAGAAGAGUAUAAAUCGAAAGAGUCCCAAAUGGAAAUGGGGGAAACUUCCGAGUCGGGUAUGUGGUGUAGUAGUAUUAAGAUUAAAUAGAGUAUGACAUCUUGGAAAGGAAAGUUUAUAUUUAUAUUUUUUUUAGGCGUGGGGUCCUUUAAUUUUUUUUUUCACCCGUAAUGCAUCUCCGACAAAUAUAGAUAUGACGGUUCAAAUUUUUUUGGCAACGAACCUGUGGCAACAUGUGGUACUCUAAUAUUACAAUGCCUGGUUUACUCGUGUACUAGUAUUAAGGUUCAUUUGAUCAUGAGAUUUUGAAAACAACACUAGAUAUCAAUAAUUUUUUGAAGUGUGGGUUCAAUUCAUCCUACUUUUUUUGCGAAAUAACGUAUGUUCGACAUAUAUAAAUAUGAAAGUUCGGAAGAAUAACCGACAGUGUUCACUGGAUCCGUCCACAGGUGCACCUGAAGAUGUGCAGAUGAAGUGCAAUGAAGCUUUGGCAACAUCUGGUAUACCUUAUUACAAUGUCUGGUUUACUCAUGUGUGCUGAAAUUCAAGAGAACCUUUUUACAUUUGGCAACCUCUGCUAUACCUUAUUUUCGACCUAAUAUUGAUGCGUUACAAACACUUUGUAGGAACUAAGCUCUAUGAGACUCAAGACAGGAAUAUAGAAGGUUCAGCAAAUUAUAUUAUUUUCUUAUUGUAGAUAUUUCCAAAUAUCAUGCAUUAAUACUUUUUUGUUAUACAAAUUUGGAUAAUUAAACAGAUGCUUCUACGUCGUCAAACCAUCCAAAUAAAAGGACAAGGUUAGCUUUGAAAGGUGGAAAACCAAAAGAUAAUGGUAAUAUGUUUUAUUACUUUUGAAUGUGUACUGCAGGAAAGAAAUGUAUAGAUUGUUUUCAUGAUUCUACUGGUGGUGGUAUCAGGGAAGGAAACUGUAGCUGUUGAUCCAACCCAUGAAUCUAAGUUUGCGAAGGGCAAUAUUAUGUCGAACAAAGGUAUGUAAUACAAAAUUAAAGGGCCAAAACGAUUGACUAUGAGAACUAAAAUUUAUCGAAAAAAUAAUGUUACUAUUAUUCUUAUGAAUAUGUUGGGAUAAGGGGAAAAAACAAAAGUUGUUGGACCAAGCAACGAGCCUAAGAGUGACAUAAUUUAUUAUUAAUAAAAAAGGUAGAUGUUCCAAAACGCAAAUUUAUGCCUGAUCAAAGCUAAUAUAUUUGGAUAGGAAAAAUGUAGUUUGUUCUUAUUAAUAUGCUGGUGCCAGGGAAGGAAGGUAUAAUUGUUGAUCCAAGCAAUCAGCCACAGAUUAAGAAUGGAAAUAGAGCGUCAAAAAAAGGUCUAUAUUUCGAAGUUCUCAGUUACAACUAAUCAACUAACAUGUAUAAUACAUCUAUUAUAUAUUUAAGAAAAUUCUUUACAGAUAAACGAAAGGACGCAGACCAAACCGAGGCAGUUGAUGGAAAGUGUGUGAAUAUGAACGUGUUGCCCGAUGGUCAAACGAAUGCGGCAACAUCUGAAUCAGAUUUACCGUCUUUACAUACCCGGACUACUCCAGCUGCUUUCUAUGAUGCGUUGAGACAAUUAAAUGAUGAACAGAAAGCUGCAGUCCAAGAGAUGGGCUUCGGGUAUAUACUGAAUAUGACAGUUAGGGAACUACCGGGACAAUUGGCAUAUUGGGUAGUUCAUAACUUUGAUGGAAAGAGCUGUGAGCUGGUGGUUAGAGAAAACCUUAGGGUGAAGGUUACGGAGGAUGAUGUCUAUAGAGUUUUUGGAUUCCCAAGAGGGAUAGAAAUCAUAGAGUCGUACAGGUGCUCAACAGAUAAUGAAUUAAUGGAUGAAUGGGUAUCUUUAUUUGGUGUCAUUAACAGACGGAAGAUCAAGAUAAAGUUACUUCUCCAUCACAUGGUACAAGGUAGGGACGGUGGUACGUGGUUUAAGAGAAACUUCCUGAUAGCCAUGCAAUUCUGCUUGAUUGAGAGCUUACCAAAUGGGACGGUUCAGCCCUAUAUAUUAAGAUGUCUGGAAGAUCUUACUUCUAUUAAAAAAUGGAAUUGGGGCGAAUACGUGCUGAGGACGUUAGUUGAGCAGAAGAGAAAUUGGUUGAUUAAUUAUAGAUCAACGUUUUCAGGACCACCAUUGUUUCUCGUUGUAAGAUGAUACACUUCAUCUUAUGCUGUUAUCAAAUUAUAUAUUUCAUAUCCAUCCAUUUAUUAGUAUUAUAAAUUAACUUUUAAAUUAUUUUAUUGUUUCGUGUGCAGCUUUUCUAUGUCGACAGGUUCGAAAUUAAUAUGGUGAAGGAGAAGCGAUCUUUCCCAGUGUUGCUGAACUGGAGUAGCGCUGACCUGAGACGGCGACAAAAAAUGGAGAAAGAUGAUAUGUAUUUUGGUGGUGGAUCGAUGCUUGAACCACUGGCACUUCCAUGUGACAAUGGUAAUGAUAUAGAGGAUGUGAGACAAUCGCACGAUGCCAGGCAUUUAAGAUUGGUUAAGCAAGCGCAAAUAGUAGCAGUAGAAGUCAAAAAAAUGAAGGAUUUGUUAGCUUGUGCAACUAAUUCGGAACGUGAAUCCAAAAUUUUUAGGGAAAGCGUCGUGACAGCUUCAAAUCUAUCAGGAUAUGAAUUGGAUCUACACUAUAAAGGGUCGGGGAUGGAGAGUACUCUUCCGAAUGCAGAAGGUACUUGUGCCAGGAACGAAGAGUUGAGUACAGGGGAGGUUCUGAUUCAAAAUGAGGCUGAUAUUGGUAAAACUCCAUCGCAUGCUGACGCUCGUCAUGUGAGUUCAGAUAUUUGAUGUCUAAUUGUCAUUUUAGUUAAUCUAUGCUAAUCGGUACACCUUAUAGGACGCGGUAUCCGUGGCUGGUAGUCAGGGUGUUAUCAGCUGCGGUGAAGACUUUAUGGUACGUAGUCCAUUAACUAAUAUGAUACGCUAUUAUUUUGCAUAUGUAAGAGUACUUUUAAGUUAACUUUGUCAAGUGCAGUAUGCACUAUUUGUGGGGUUAUAUAUAUUUACAUUUAACAGGAAUGUAGAAUUGUCCCCAUGAUUUAUAUCACACAUGAGUUAUUAUUGAUCAUUCGAAGUAAUUAUAACUUGACAAUGUCCAAUGUUCAAUAAACAUAUAGCUAUGUUCAUGUAAAGUUCAAAAUAUGUUCGAACCUAUGAACAUAUAGAAUAGUAACAUAAAAUGACUGACAAGCUUGAAAUAAUUUGGCUUAUAUCAUAGGGACGUAGUGCAGGGAAUGUUGACACGCCCAGGGAAUAUCCUGAUGUUGAUGGAUAUUUUAACAAUGUAAGCAUUCCUGAACUAGAAAACAUAUGAACAUUUAUGUAUUAGGUGUUCAUUGGUAUAAGUGAAUUUGAUAAAACGUGAUUUUUAUUUACUGGUGCACAGGAUAUUGAUGAUAUUUAUGUCUCAGAUAUGGAUGUCAACGUUGAAAUAAUGAUGAACGAGGUUAAGCGAAUUAGUAUAGUCAACUAUUCCUGAUUCUGAUGAAAGUUUUAAUAACAUUUUUUGGGGAUCAAUGUAGACUGCCGAAGUUGAUGCAGCCAGCAAUGAAGCCAUGGUAGUCGCUGAGGUGGUUCAAGGCAGGGGGAAAACAAAGGUAUAUUUGCUCCAUUUCUUUAAUGUUUAUAAGAAUGUUAUAUAAACUACAUCAUGAAGUGCACAUGUAACCUAUUAUUGAUGAACAUUCAUAUAAAUUUAAUGAACAUGCGAUCAAUAAUGAAUAAUUACCAUGACAGGAGUAUAUUAUACAUUACAUUCAUAGUAAUUUUAAAAUGAACACAGGCCUUUGCCAAAAAGCACGACCAUGAAUAAUUUGUCUUAAUAUACAUGUUUUUAUUGCUUACAGGUGGUGUCCAAUAAAAUAGGUGUUUCUUCGAAGCAGGUGUUGAGAAAGUCGGAGAGGGUACAUCCCGCACAUUUAUAUUUGACAACCAUGAACUAAAAUAUAAUGUUAAUGCUAACCCUAUACAUCUUCGUUUUUAAUUCAGGUCAAGCAAAUGGGGAUAGUGAUAAGAGAUAAUGCAAAGGAGAAUAAUUUUGACGAGCCAGCUGGGGUAAAGUACACCUAUGUUAGGAAGCGUAUGAAAUUUUAGUUCGAUAUGGUUGUACUAUAAAUACCUAUUUUAUGAAUCAGGCUAUUUGGAGAGCACUAAGUACAGAUGAAAUUCUGCGUUUACCGUUAUGCAGACUAGACGACAAUGUAGGUGAAUUUUAUUGUCGUCUUCUUUUGAAAACUCUUUUGAAAAAACUAAACGUACUGAAUCAGUACCUAUAUAUAUGAAAUUUUGGGAGUUUGUGAAUGAUUAAAUAUUGCUAUUGAGUUAUGUAUCUGUUCUAUGAAGAUAGGAGAUCAACCAAUGGAAUAUGCUGGUUUGCAACAUGGAACUACACAGCAGAAGGUAAAAUGGCAGAAAGGAAGUAAAUUUAGGUCGCCAUUUGUUCAAAGAGAAGUGUGCCCCGGAAAAAGGUUAUCAAACCAAGAGAAGGAGAUUGGUAUAUACUGCAUGUACUCUGAAACACGUGACGGGUACAGUAUUGAUUUUUUACAUUAAUGCAUUUACUCGUUAAUUAAUUCAAUACUAAGUUUUUUGCCUGUAGGUUUGAAAUACUAUUCUCACAUCAAGAAAGAGAGAUUAAUAGAUACGAACUGCAGUCAUUGAGGAAGGGGUGUGUUGUUAGUUUACCAAUAAUAAAUGCGUGGACCGUGUUCCUGAAUAGGCAGGAGGAUAUUCGCUCAAAUUAUUCACCUUUGCGCUUUUUUGCAAGUUCAAAAAUUUACGUAAGUCAGAUUACAUUGUGUUGUACCUUUUCACAUUUGGUAUAGGGGCCUACCUUAACAUUCUUUUUAUUUUAUAGACCGACAUCAUAUGCUCGACUGAAACAUCUUACGCGGAAAAGAUUAAAUUAUUCAUAAGUAUGAUGACUUAUGAACUGAGAGUGUAUCAGAACAGUCCAAUACAUUUGAUAGAUAUUGUAAGUGUAAAUGUUAUAAAUGGGUUGGAUAUUCUGUUGUCAUAUAAUUUAAUGUGUACUGUGUUAUGGUGUGUAGUUUUUCUUCCCGGUGUUUGAGGACAAUUUGUACUAUGCACUGGCUGUUGAUUUAAAAAAGGAGCGCAUUUUUGUGUUAGAUGCUAUAACUGAUCCAUCUAGUACUGAGCAUUCAAAUAAAUAUGGAGCAGUAUGCGAUAGCGUUGUAAGUAUGAAUAUGUAUGAUUUGUAACUCAUUUUUUACGGCGUUUCCUUAAUUUAUUAAAUAAUUUUGUACUUAACUCGUGCAGCGUCGUCUCUUGGCUGAUUACCUGAGACACAUGAGGGAGUAUAAGAAGGCAGCCUCAGUGACAAGAUCAAAGUCACAUAUAGUGAAGAUGAAGUGGGGUGAUAUGGCGAACGUCGAUGACACAGGGAUUUACCUAAUGAGGCACCUAGAAACUUUCAUGGGUGAUAGUUCGUGCAGCUGGAAAUGCAUGUCCAGGGUCUCGGCUAAUAGACAACUACGGCUGCUGCGCGUACGUUAUUGUUCUACUUUGUUGAUUUGGGAGGGCAAUCAAUUACGUGGAAAUGUCAUAAGGGAGGCAGAAGUCCACUUUAAGGAGGUUUGCAUGGAUCCAGCACUGAAUGUCAAUAUGUUGCUGGUUGGAUAAUCAAGACGAACGACAGUAAUUCCUUAUUGUUUUUUAUUUCCAAAUAUGUUCAGAUUAUUUGCUCUGCGAACAUGUGUAUGUUCGUCUUUAUUUACUCAGUGAACAUUUAUUAAUUUACGGUGAUUUUGAACAUACACAAUAACCAUGAUGAAUAAAGGUUCGAAAAAUCACCAUUUAAAGUGAGCUAAACACGUCGCUUAUGUCGCAUAUUUGUUUUAUUAAUGCCUUAUAUAUACACGUCGAUUAUGUGCAUUCUUUCACCAUAUAUUAAUAUGAAAAAUAGAUUCAUGAUUGCACUUACAGAUAUUAAUGGAAUUAGUGCGCAACCUGUCGACAUUCGACGGGAAAUUAUUUUAGUCUCAAUUUGUAUUAGUUUCAAUCAUUCCGCCAAUUAAAUGUAAAUUUUUAAUUUGGAGAGCAACAGAUUAUUCUUGUAUAAGUUUUACUUUGGUGAAAUCUUAUAAAAAUACUCAAUGUGAAAUGAGNAUAUAUAUAUAUAUACUACUACUUACUUACUUACUACUAUAUAUAUAUAUAUAUAUAUAUAUAUAUAUAUAUAUAUAUAUAUAUAUAUAUAGGGGAGGGCUAGAAUAAAAACACUCUUAAGUGUAUAAAAUAUAAAUGAUUUUCAGCCCUUAGAUCAUCAAGAUCUACGGUUGAUUCGUAAUCCUGUUGGAUGAAUUCGUGGUCCUGGGUUCGAAUCCCAAAGGUAGCAAAAAAUUAUUUUUCACAAUUCGUAACCAUAUUUGAUGAAUUCGUAACCCUGUUGGAUAAAAUUCGUACAUUAAAAAACGUUUAUAUUUAUAUUUUAAGAAGUGUUUUACCGUUAGCCCUCCCCUAUAUAUAUAUAUAUAGGGUCCGCAUCCAUUGAGAUUUUAGCUUAUACUUAGAUUUAAGAUAGAAUCCUGAGCCUCCAUACCCAAUGAUCUAACGGAUCCUAUGCAGCUGAAAUUUUUGGUUUUUAUUUGUUAUUUAAUGUUUAAAAUAUUGUUUUAAGAACGAAAAGGGUAGAUCUGUCCCUAUGUAUUUCUUCCGAUAUUCCAAACAAUAACACAAUCCCGAUAAUUUUGUUCUUUCCAACUGAAAUGGAAUUAAGAUUUGGAAAGAUCUGUUGUUGUAGUUAUCAAAACUCUAUUGUUCACAAAAUUAAUUUCAUUCGAACUUGUUCAACGCUAGGGUUCGUUGGAGGCGGCUUGAAGAGUGAGGAAGAUUCUUCAUACCUUUCAUCUCGGUGAGUUCUAAUUUGCUGGAAUUUUAUUUGAUUGAUAAUAUUCAUGUUCGAUUACAUACGAAGAUUUUGCUGGAAUUCAAAAUUUACGAUUUUGACAAAAAAAGAUGCGAAUUAUACUGAAUAUAUCUCUUCACAUUCCAGUUGAUUUAUGUGAUUUUGCUGGAAUUCAAAAUUUACGAUUUUGACAAAAAAAGAUGCGAAUUAUACUGAAUAUAUCUCUUCACAUUCCAGUUGAUUUAUCUGGUGAAUUCUUACAACUUAGGAUUGAUAUAUAAAAUUCUGUUGAACUAAGGAGUAUUGUUCGAUGAACUGUAUAUUGCGCGAUUGUGUGUGUGAUAUUGUUUUUUAUGUUUACAAGGUAUGUCUACUGUACAUGGUGACGUCUUGGUUAUCAAAGGUAUGAAAAACGUGGAAAAAUCAAUAUUUUGCUAGAUAUUGGUCAAUUGUGUAAUAUUAUUUUCAUCUGUUUAUAGACACAUCGAGUGAUACAUCUGGUUCUCCUAUGAGGAAGCGUGCAAAGGGUAUUUAUAGACGUCGUACAAAUGAGUCGAAAGGUCAUAGUUAUUUUUCAGUUUUACAAUUCAUGAGUAUUUUGUAUUACUUUAUGUUAAUAAUAUUUCGUAUUCAUCAUAUCUCACAGGAAGACUAUACUAAAUCCGCCUGGCUUGGCUCGUCGUUCGGAAGUAGUGGACUUGACAAUAGACGAUCUGCGCGGUAUUUUUUUGACACGUUGGCUAUUAGUUUAAUUUGAAUAUUCAAAAGUUAGCAUGAUUGUUACUUUCAUUAACUAAUCCACUGAUACAACAAGAACAGAGCCAUGUUUGGUAACAGGUGAAUUUGCAUACACCGUCGAUGGGGGAA
rnacentral:lncRNA from 1 species